UUCGAUCGGGCGAACUGUGGUUAAGGAACUCGGCAAAUUACCCCCGUAACUUCGGGAGAAGGGGGGCCACAGACUGUCAUACCCCACGCGGGUGGCAGCAGUAGGUGGCCGCAGAGACCAGGGGGAAGCGACUGUUUACUAAAAACACAGGUCCGUGCGAAGUCGUAAGACGAUGUAUACGGACUGACGCCUGCCCGGUGCUGGAACGUUAAGGGGACCGGUUAGUCCGCAAGGGCGAAGCUGAGAACUUAAGCGCCAGUAAACGGCGGUGGUAACUAUAACCAUCCUAAGGUAGCGAAAUUCCUUGUCGGGUAAGUUCCGACCUGCACGAAUGGCGUAACGACUUCCCUACUGUCUCAACCACAGGCCCGGCGAAAUUGCACUACGAGUAAAGAUGCUCGUUACGCGCGGAAGGACGGAAAGACCCCGGGACCUUCACUAUAGCUUGACAUUGGUAUCCGAAUUUAAUUGUGUAGGAUAGGUGGGAGGCUUUGAUCCGCGGACGCCAGUCCGUCGGGGAGCCAACGUUGAAAUACCACUCUGUUGACUUUGGGUAUCUAACUUCGGACCGUGAUCCGGUUCAGGGACAGUGUCUGGUGGGUAGUUUAACUGGGGCGGUUGCCUCCUAAAAUGUAACGGAGGCGCCCAAAGGUUCCCUCAGCCUGGUUGGCAAUCAGGUGUUGAGUGCAAGUGCACAAGGGAGCUUGACUGUGAGACUGACAGGUCGAGCAGGGACGAAAGUCGGGACUAGUGAUCCGGCACCUGCGAGUGGAAGCGGUGUCGCUCAACGGAUAAAAGGUACCCCGGGGAUAACAGGCUGAUCUUCCCCAAGAGUCCAUAUCGACGGGAUGGUUUGGCACCUCGAUGUCGGCUCGUCGCAUCCUGGGGCUGGAGUAGGUCCCAAGGGUUGGGCUGUUCGCCCAUUAAAGCGGCACGCGAGCUGGGUUUAGAACGUCGUGAGACAGUUCGGUCCCUAUCCUCCGCGCGCGUAGGAGACUUGAGAAGAGCUGUCCCUAGUACGAGAGGACCGGGACGGACGAACCUCUGGUGUGCCAGUUGUCAUGCCAAUGGCACGGCUGGUUAGCUACGUUCGGAAGGGAUAACCGCUGAAAGCAUCUAAGCGGGAAGCUCGCUUCAAGAUGAGGUCUCCCACCCCUUAGAGGGUUAAGGCCCCCAGCUAGACCACUGGGUUGAUAGGCCAGAAGUGUAAGCCUGGUAACAGGUUCAGCCGACUGGUACUAAUAGGCCGAGGACUUCACCA
rnacentral:rRNA from 1 species